UGAGUGAGUGGCGAACUGGUGAGUAACACGUGGGAAACCUGCCCAGAAGCGGGGGAUAACACCUGGAAACAGAUGCUAAUACCGCAUAACAACUUGGACCGCAUGGUCCGAGCUUGAAAGAUGGCUUCGGCUAUCACUUUUGGAUGGUCCCGCGGCGUAUUAGCUAGAUGGUGGGGUAACGGCUCACCAUGGCAAUGAUACGUAGCCGACCUGAGAGGGUAAUCGGCCACAUUGGGACUGAGACACGGCCCAAACUCCUACGGGAGGCAGCAGUAGGGAAUCUUCCACAAUGGACGAAAGUCUGAUGGAGCAACGCCGCGUGAGUGAAGAAGGGUUUCGGCUCGUAAAACUCUGUUGUUAAAGAAGAACAUAUCUGAGAGUAACUGUUCAGGUAUUGACGGUAUUUAACCAGAAAGCCACGGCUAACUACGUGCCAGCAGCCGCGGUAAUACGUAGGUGGCAAGCGUUGUCCGGAUUUAUUGGGCGUAAAGCGAGCGCAGGCGGUUUUUUAAGUCUGAUGUGAAAGCCUUCGGCUCAACCGAAGAAGUGCAUCGGAAACUGGGAAACUUGAGUGCAGAAGAGGACAGUGGAACUCCAUGUGUAGCGGUGAAAUGCGUAGAUAUAUGGAAGAACACCAGUGGCGAAGGCGGCUGUCUGGUCUGUAACUGACGCUGAGGCUCGAAAGUAUGGGUAGCAAACAGGAUUAGAUACCCUGGUAGUCCAUACCGUAAACGAUGAAUGCUAAGUGUUGGAGGGUUUCCGCCCUUCAGUGCUGCAGCUAACGCAUUAAGCAUUCCGCCUGGGGAGUACGGCCGCAAGGCUGAAACUCAAAGGAAUUGACGGGGGCCCGCACAAGCGGUGGAGCAUGUGGUUUAAUUCGAAGCUACGCGAAGAACCUUACCAGGUCUUGACAUACUAUGCAAAUCUAAGAGAUUAGACGUUCCCUUCGGGGACAUGGAUACAGGUGGUGCAUGGUUGUCGUCAGCUCGUGUCGUGAGAUGUUGGGUUAAGUCCCGCAACGAGCGCAACCCUUAUUAUCAGUUGCCAGCAUUAAGUUGGGCACUCUGGUGAGACUGCCGGUGACAAACCGGAGGAAGGUGGGGAUGACGUCAAAUCAUCAUGCCCCUUAUGAACUGGGCUACACACGUGCUACAAUGGAAUGGUACAACCAGUUGCGAACUCGCGAAAGUAACCUAAUCCCUUAAAGCCAUUCGCAGGUCGGAAUUGGAGGCUGAAAUCGCCACAAUUGAAGUCCGAAUCGCUGUAAUCGCGGAUCAGCGUCCGCGGGGAAAAAGAUUACCGGAGCCUUGAAACCACCCCCCUCCACCGAGGGAUUGUUGAAACCCCCGAUACCCUGGGGGUUAAUCUUUGGAAACCACGCCCUAGAAUUGAGGACAUUAACAGACUUAACCUACCAAUGGGUUCCAGAGAAAUUGGCGCUGGUAACGUCUAGGCAAUUUACCC
rnacentral:rRNA from 1 species